UGACUUACUUGCUUAAUUUCAUCUUGUCAGGACAUACUCCACAAUCCAUACAUUCACCAAAUAUUAAAGGUACUGUACCGUGAAGCUGAUAGUAAAGUAAAUACAGAUAUACAAUCAGAUCAUUUUUUAGUUAUUAGUUUAAAUUUGAGUAGAAGUAGUGUAAAUUUGAAUAGUUAUAUUCAUUAUAUAUUGGCAGCUAAAUAUGAACUUUUAUUACAAUUGGCUAUUUCGAGGGCGGAACAAAUUACAGUGCUGUUUUUCUUCAUUGUUUAGAGUAAAGAGCAUAAAUAUAAUAUUAGAAGUGUACACCUGUAAUAGGAUUAGAUGUGGAAACAGUUUGCUCUAAAGAACUGGGUUGUGUAAUAAUUUUAAAUGUAAAAUAAGCUGCAAUUUAAAUGUAUGUUAAUAAACAUUGUUCACUAUUAUUUCUUUCCUUUUGUAGUUAAUAACAUUGAUAAUGUUAAUAAAUAAUGUUUACCCUAUCGCAAUAUUUUCUUACGGGAUUAAUCAUCACUUCGUAGUCUUCAAGCAGUUCAGUUCGCUACUGUGUUUUGCUUAGUGUUUAAAAUUUGAAUAAUACAAUACAACCGUCCACCCUACAUGACGAACGGAAUUCAGGCAGCAGUGGUAGAAUGGAUUAGAGCUCUGGACUUA